GCCUCUUUAGCUCAGCUGGUAGAGCAACGCAUUCGUAAUGCGUAGGUCGUGGGUUCGAAUCCCAUGAGAGGCUCCA
rnacentral:tRNA from 1 species